CAGCGUAUAGCUCAGUGGUAGAGCGCCCGCUUUGCACAAGUGCAAUCCAGCCUGCGGGAGGUCUGGGGUUCGAUCCCCCAUUCGUCCA